GCCAGGUAUGGUGGUGCGUACCUGUAAUCCCAGCUACCCAGGAGGCUGAGGCAGGAGGAUCUCAUGUCCAAGACCAGUUAGGGCAACUUAGUGAGACCUUGCCUCAA
rnacentral:sRNA from 1 species